UACAGAGGUCUCAAGCGUUGUUCGGAUUCAUUGGGCGUAAAGGGUGUGUAGGUGGCGCCGUAAGUCGGGUGUGAAAUUUCGGAGCUUAACUCCGAAACUGCAUUCGAUACUGCGGUGCUUUGAGGACUGGAGAGGAGACUGGAAUUCAUGGUGUAGCAGUGAAAUGCGUAGAGAUCAUGAGGAAGACCAGUGGCGAAGGCGGGUCUCUGGACAGUUCCUGACACUGAGACACGAAGGCCAGGGGAGCAAACGGG
rnacentral:rRNA from 1 species